rnacentral:misc_RNA from 1 species
UGUGGGAGGGGGCUUGCUCCCGCAGUGUGUCAGUCACUGCAUUUUGUGACUGAUCCACCGCUAUCGGGAGCAAGCCCCCUCCCACA